GACGGAGGGAGCUAGCGUUGUUCGGAAUGACUGGGCGUAAAGGGCGCGUAGGCGGUUUUUUAAGUGAGGCGUGAAAGCCCUGGGCUUAACCCAGGAGGUGCGUUUCAUACUGGAAGACUUGAGUGCGAGAGAGGAAAGUGGAAUUCCUAGUGUAGAGGUGAAAUUCGUAGAUAUUAGGAAGAACACCAGAGGCGAAGGCGGCUUUCUGGCUCGCAACUGACGCUGAGGCGCGAAAGCGUGGGGAGCAAACAGG
rnacentral:rRNA from 1 species